UACGAGGGGGGCGAGCGUUGUUCGGAAUUAUUGGGCGUAAAGGGUGCGUAGGCGGUUUGAUAAGUCUUGUGUGAAAUCUCUGGGCUCAACCCAGAGUCUGCAUAGGAAACUGUCGGGCUUGAGUAUGGAAGAGGAGUGUGGAAUUCCCGGUGUAGCGGUGAAAUGCGCAGAUAUCGGGAAGAACACCCGUGGCGAAGGCGGCACUCUGGGACGGUACUGACGCUGAGACGCGAAAGCGUGGGGAGCGAACAGG
rnacentral:rRNA from 1 species